rnacentral:rRNA from 1 species
UCGUCAGCUCGUGUCGUGAGAUGUUGGGUUAAGUCCCGCAACGAGCGCAACCCUUGUCAUUAGUUGCCAUCAUUAAGUUGGGCACUCUAAUGAGACUGCCGGUGACAAACCGGAGGAAGGUGGGGAUGACGUCAAGUCAUCAUGCCCCUUAUGACCUGGGCUACACACGUGCUACAAUGGACGGUACAACGAGAAGCGAACCUGCGAAGGCAAGCGGAUCUCUUAAAGCCGUUCUCAGUUCGGACUGUAGGCUGCAACUCGCCUACACGAAGCUGGAAUCGCUAGUAAUCGCGGAUCAGCACGCCGCGGUGAAUACGUUCCCGGGCCUUGUACACACCGCCCGUCACACCAUGGGAGUCUGCAAUGCCCAAAGCCGGUGGCCUAACCUUCGGGAAGGAGCCGUCUAAGGCAGGGCAGAUGACUGGGGUGAAGUCGUAACAAGGUAGCCGUA